GCCACAUCAUAUUCGCUACGAAUAAACAACUUGAUCUACUGAAAGAAGCGAAGACUUGGUAUAUUGACGGUACUUUCAAAGUUGUAAGGAAACCAUUCACUCAACUACUUUCUGUCCACGCAUUUGUCAAGUCCGACGACGCAAUGAAGCAGCUACCUUUGUGCUUUGUUCUGAUGAUGGGCAAGAAGAAACGGGACUACAAGAAGGUGUUUGAAGCAAUUGUGCGCCUUUUACCAUCGACGGAGGUGAA